UUUAAUUUUAAUUUAAAUAUUAAUUUAAAUUGUGAAUUCAUAUUUGAAUUAAGAAUUUAAGAUCAAAGAGUAAAUUAAUAUAUGAUUUAAAUUAUAAAUUAAAAUUAUGAAUUCAAAUUUGAAUAAAUGUUUUAAUUUUUGUGUUGAACUUUUAUUUUAAAAUUAAUUUCAAUUAUAAGUUAUAACUUAAAUUUUAAGUUCAAAUUGUAAAUUAAAUUUAUGUCUUAAAUUUUAAUUAUAAAUUCAACUUAGAUUCAAGUUUAAAUUUUAAAAUAUAAUAUUGAAUUCUAAAUAUAAAUAUAAAUAUAAAUUUUUAAUUUAAACUGCGAGUAUAAAUCGUUUGUUUAUAUUUUCACCUCUUUAUACAUAAUUUAAUAAUCAAAAUGACAAAAUUAUAGUUUUAGUUUUUACUUUAUAGCCAACCAAACAAUCGAACUGAAAAGUCACUUUUGUAAAAGUUAUUUUUAUAAAAGGGAUUUUUUUUCACUCCAUCCAUUUUUGUGCAACCAAACAUGCCCUAACAAGUACUGACUUUUUGAAAAAGCCGUAACAUAAGUUGGUAAACUUCAUGCCGGUAUGGAAAAGCCGCCAAUAGAUACAAUAGUUUGAAAAAGUCGUUCUUUCAGGUAGCAUUUGGUUCAGGAACAAAGGCGGGAAUAAGCUCUUAUUCCUCCAUCUGUUCCUAAACGCUACGUUUGGUACCCGAGAACAGGAGUUCUCGGAUUUCUAGAAUAAAUCGGAAUAAGGCUGGAACUGUUGUUCCAUCUUUUUCCUAGAACAAGCUUAUUUUCAUAUGAGAAUAAGGCUAAUUAAAGUCUAAAAAUAAUUUUAAUUAUGAUAUUAAAUAAUUAAUUAAUCUAAUUAAUAUAUUUAAAUUAUUAUUUAUUUCUUAAAUAAUAAAAUAAUUUAGUAAUUUAUUAUUUAUAAUUAUUAAUUAAAUCAUUAUUAUUUAUAAUUAUUAAUAAUUACUUUAUUUAUUUAUUUAUAAUUAAUUAAUUAUUAAUUAAUUUAUUAAUUUAUAAUUAACUAACUUAUCAUUAAUUUAUUAUUUUUAAGUAAUAUUUUGAUGUUAAUUAAUUAGAUAAAAUAAUUUUAAUUUAAAAUUAUAACUA
rnacentral:lncRNA from 1 species